rnacentral:lncRNA from 1 species
CUGAUCACCCUCUGUACCCGUAAGUCAUGACGGUUUACAGAUGAAUUUCUGUUUAAACCUUUUCGAAAAUGGAAAACAAUGUUCAUGGUAUGUCACAGAAACCCCAUAUACAGUCAAUACGUAGUUUCAAAAAUUUGAAUGAGGGUUGUUAUGUUAUUAUUAUUGGUACAGAUUACUUCACAACUACUGACUAGUUGUAGAAGAAUAUUAUUAAGAAAACAUUUAAAUUCUUUCAGCCUAUAUAUAUAUAUAUAAUACUUGUUGGGCACUCAAAUGCUCAUCCUUGCUUAAUUUAAAUGUUUUCAGCUAAGUGUGAAGGACCAGAAAGUUCAGGCCGAGACAAAGG